rnacentral:rRNA from 1 species
UGAGGGAUCUUGGUCAAUGGGCGCAAGCCUGAACCAGCGACGCCGCGUGGAGGACGAAGGGCUUCGGCUCGUAAACUCCUUUUAGCAGGGACGAGUAAGGACGGUACCUGCUGAAUAAGUCUCGGCUAACUACGUGCCAGCAGCCGCGGUAAAACGUAGGAGGCGAGCGUUAUCCGGAAUCACUGGGCGUAAAGGGCGUCUAGGCGGAAGGGCAAGCGGGGUGUGAAAGCUCUCGGCUCAACUGAGAGAGUGCGCUCCGAACUGCCGAUCUAGAGGGCGGGCGAAGGGGGUGGAAUUCCCGGUGGAGUGGUGAAAUGCGUAGAGAUCGGGAGGAACACCAGUGGCGCAAGCGGCCCCCUAGCCUGUUUCUGACGCUGAAGCGCGAGAGCGUGGGGAGCAAACGG